AAGGAGGGCAGCCGGGAUUCUCUUCUUUCUUCUCUCAAAAUCACACAAUUAUCAUAUCAAAGAGGCUAGGGUUAUAUUCAUAUAUAUACUCUAGGGUUAGGCUUUAAGUUGGGCCAUUAAAGGGGUAAACGGGCCAAGAUUCAAGCCAUCCAUAAGGAAUACAAUUGGGCCGGAUGUAGCUCAUGGACUUGGUUGUUGGACUUAUUUCAUUCAUCGGCCUAUACCUAUGAAAUAAUAUUAACCCACGUUAACAUCAUAGCCCGGAAUUUAUU
rnacentral:lncRNA from 1 species